rnacentral:rRNA from 1 species
GCAAGUCGAGCGGGAAACAUUUCAUUGAAGCUUCGGCGGAUUUGGUCUGUUUCUAGUGGCGGACGGGUGAGUAACGCGUGGGUAACCUGCCUUAUACUGGGGGAUAACAGCCAGAAAUGGCUGCUAAUACCGCAUAAGCGCACAGGGCCGCAUGGUCCGGUGUGAAAAACUCCGGUGGUAUAAGAUGGACCCGCGUUGGAUUAGCUGGUUGGCAGGGCAGCGGCCUACCAAGGCGACGAUCCAUAGCCGGCCUGAGAGGGUGAACGGCCACAUUGGGACUGAGACACGGCCCAGACUCCUACGGGAGGCAGCAGUGGGGAAUAUUGCACAAUGGGGGAAACCCUGAUGCAGCGACGCCGCGUGAAGGAAGAAGUAUCUCGGUAUGUAAACUUCUAUCAGCAGGGAAGAUAAUGACGGUACCUGACUAAGAAGCCCCGGCUAACUACGUGCCAGCAGCCGCGGUAAUACGUAGGGGGCAAGCGUUAUCCGGAUUUACUGGGUGUAAAGGGAGCGUAGACGGCGCAGCAAGUCUAAUGUGAAAGGCAGGGGCUUAACCCCUGGACUGCAUUGGAAACUGUUGAGCUUGAGUGCCGGAGGGGUAAGCGGAAUUCCUAGUGUAGCGGUGAAAUGCGUAGAUAUUAGGAGGAACACCAGUGGCGAAGGC